rnacentral:rRNA from 1 species
AUGGAGAAACCGAAUUCGCCAGUAUUCUGGGAAGCUCAGUUUGGUGAUUUCUCCAAUGGUGCACAAGUGAUAUUCGACCAGUUUCUGAGUAGUGUAGCAGCCAAAUGGCUCCGCCAAACUGGCCUUGUUGGUCUACUGUCUCAUCGUUAUGAUGGCAAGGUCCUGAACACUCCAUCUCCCGUCUUGAGCGCUUCCUUCAGGUAA